GAGUUUGAUCGUGGCUCAGAACGAACGCUGGCGGCAGGCUUAACACAUGCAAGUCGAGCGCCCCGCAAGGGGAGCGGCAGACGGGUGAGUAACACGUGGGAAUCUACCCAGCUCUACGGAACAACCCAGGGAAACUUGGACUAAUACCGUAUACGUCCUCCGGGAGAAAGAUUUAUCGGAGUUGGAUGAGCCCGCGUUGGAUUAGCUAGAUGGUGGGGUAAUGGCCUACCAUGGCGACGAUCCAUAGCUGGUCUGAGAGGAUGAUCAGCCACACUGGGACUGAGACACGGCCCAGACUCCUACGGGAGGCAGCAGUGGGGAAUAUUGGACAAUGGGCGAAAGCCUGAUCCAGCCAUGCCGCGUGAGUGAUGAAGGCCCUAGGGUUGUAAAGCUCUUUCACCGGGGAAGAUAAUGACGGUACCCGGAGAAGAAGCCCC
rnacentral:rRNA from 1 species